rnacentral:rRNA from 1 species
GGGUCACCUCCCACCCGUGUUUAUUGUACCUUGUUGCUUCGGUGCGCCCGCCUCACGGCCGCCGGGGGGCUUCUGCCCCCGGGUCCGCGCGCACCGGAGACACCAUUGAACUCUGUCUGAAGAUUGCAGUCUGAGCAUAAACUAAAUAAGUUAAAACUUUCAACAACGGAUCUCUUGGUUCCGGCAUCGAUGAAGAACGCAGCGAAAUGCGAUAACUAAUGUGAAUUGCAGAAUUCAGUGAAUCAUCGAGUCUUUGAACGCACAUUGCGCCCCCUGGUAUUCCGGGGGGCAUGCCUGUCCGAGCGUCAUUGCUGCCCUCAAGCACGGCUUGUGUGUUGGGCUCCGUCCCCCCGGGGACGGGUCCGAAAGGCAGCGGCGGCACCGAGUCCGGUCCUCGAGCGUAUGGGGCUUUGUCACCCGCUCUGUAGGCCCGGCCGGCGCCAGCCGACAACCAAUCAUCCUUUUUUCAGGUUGACCUCGGAUCAGGUAGGGAUACCCGCUGAACUUAAGCAUAUCAAUAAGCGGAGGAAA